rnacentral:tRNA from 2 species
GGGCGAUUAGCUCAGUUGGUAGAGCAGUUGACUUUUAAUCAAUUGGUCGCAGGUUCGAAUCCCGCACGACCCACCA